rnacentral:rRNA from 1 species
GACGAACGCUGGCGGCGUGCUUAACACAUGCAAGUCGAACGGAAAGGCCCUGCUUUUGUGGGGUGCUCGAGUGGCGAACGGGUGAGUAACACGUGAGUAACCUGCCCUUGACUUUGGGAUAACUUCAGGAAACUGGGGCUAAUACCGGAUAGGAGCUCCUGCUGCAUGGUGGGGGUUGGAAAGUUUCGGCGGUUGGGGAUGGACUCGCGGCUUAUCAGCUUGUUGGUGGGGUAGUGGCUUACCAAGGCUUUGACGGGUAGCCGGCCUGAGAGGGUGACCGGCCACAUUGGGACUGAGAUACGGCCCAGACUCCUACGGGAGGCAGCAGUGGGGAAUAUUACACAAUGGGCGGAAGCCUGAUGCAGCAACGCCGCGUGCGGGAUGACGGCCUUCGGGUUGUAAACCGCUUUCGCCUGUGACGAAGCGUGAGUGACGGUAAUGGGUAAAGAAGCACCGGCUAACUACGUG